AUUGAACGCUGGCGGCAGGCCUAACACAUGCAAGUCGAGCGGAUGAAGGGAGCUUGCUCCUGGAUUCAGCGGCGGACGGGUGAGUAAUGCCUAGGAAUCUGCCUGGUAGUGGGGGAUAACGUCCGGAAACGGGCGCUAAUACCGCAUACGUCCUGAGGGAGAAAGUGGGGGAUCUUCGGACCUCACGCUAUCAGAUGAGCCUAGGUCGGAUUAGCUAGUUGGUGGGGUAAAGGCCUACCAAGGCGACGAUCCGUAACUGGUCUGAGAGGAUGAUCAGGCACACUGGAACUUAGACACGGUCCAGACUCCUACGGGAGGCAGCAGUGGGGAAUAUUGGACAAUGGGCGAAAGCCUGAUCCAGCCAUGCCGCGUGUGUGAAGAAGGUCUUCGGAUUGUAAAGCACUUUAAGUUGGGAGGAAGGGCAGUAAGUUAAUACCUUGCUGUUUUGACGUUACCAACAGAAUAAGCACCGGCUAACUUCGUG
rnacentral:rRNA from 1 species